rnacentral:rRNA from 1 species
GAUGAACGCUGGCGGCGUGCUUAACACAUGCAAGUCGAACGGUGAAAGAGAGCUUGCUCUCUGGAUCAGUGGCGAACGGGUGAGUAACACGUGAGCAACCUGCCCCAGACUCUGGGAUAACAGUUGGAAACAGCUGCUAAUACCGGAUACGAGACGUGAAGGCAUCUUCAACGUCUGGAAAGAACUUCGGUCUGGGAUGGGCUCGCGGCCUAUCAGCUAGUUGGUGAGGUAAUGGCUCACCAAGGCGUCGACGGGUAGCCGGCCUGAGAGGGUGACCGGCCACACUGGGACUGAGACACGGCCCAGACUCCUACGGGAGGCAGCAGUGGGGAAUAUUGCACAAUGGGCGAAAGCCUGAUGCAGCAACGCCGCGUGAGGGACGACGGCCUUCGGGUUGUAAACCUCUUUUAGCAGGGAAGAAGCGAAAGUGACGGUACCUGCAGAAAAAGCACCGGCUAACUACGUGCCAGCCGCCGCAGUAAUAC